UGCUGCUUCGCUGACGAGUGGCGGACGGGUGAGUAAUGUCUGGGAAACUGCCUGAUGGAGGGGGAUAACUACUGGAAACGGUGGCUAAUACCGCAUAACGUCGCAAGACCAAAGAGGGGGACCUUCGGGCCUCUUGCCAUCAGAUGUGCCCAGAUGGGAUUAGCUUGUUGGUGAGGUAACGGCUCACCAAGGCGACGAUCCCUAGCUGGUCUGAGAGGAUGACCAGCCACACUGGAACUGAAACACGGUCCAGACCCCUACGGGAGGCAGCAGUGGGGAAUAUUGCACAAUGGGCGCAAGCCUGAUGCAGCCAUGCCGCGUGUAUGAAGAAGGCCUUCGGGUUGUAAAGUACUUUCAGCGGGGAGGAAGGUGUUGUGGUUAAUAACCGCAGCAAUUGACGUUACCCGCAGAAGAAGCACCGGCUAACUCCGUGCCAGCAGCCGCGGUAAUACGGAGGGUGCAAGCGUUAAUCGGAAUUACUGGGCGUAAAGCGCACGCAGGCGGUCUGUCAAGUCGGAUGUGAAAUCCCCGGGCUCAACCUGGGAACUGCAUUCGAAACUGGCAGGCUUGAGUCUUGUAGAGGGGGGUAGAAUUCCAGGUGUAGCGGUGAAAUGCGUAGAGAUCUGGAGGAAUACCGGUGGCGAAGGCGGCCCCCUGGACAAAGACUGACGCUCAGGUGCGAAAGCGUGGGGAGCAAACAGGGUUAGACACCCUGGUAGUCCACGCCGUAAACGAUGUCUACUU
rnacentral:rRNA from 1 species